UGAGUACGAGAUGCUACGGCAUCGAAGCAGUCUAUGUCAUACUUCCAAGAAAAGCUUGCACUGUCAGAAACAGAUAAUGCCUGUACCAUAACCGACACAGGUGGGUAGGUAGAGUAUACUAAGGGGCGCGAGAUAACUCUCUCUAAGGAACUCGGCAAAAUGACUCCGUAACUUCGGGAGAAGGAGUGCCUUAUUUUUAAGGUUGCAAUAACAAGAUCCAAGCAACUGCUUACCAAAAACACAGGUCUCCGCUAAGUCGUAAGACGAUGUAUGGGGGCUGACGCCUGCCCAGUGCCAGAAGGUUAAAGAAGUCGGUUAGCAUUCGCGAAGCUGGUAACUGAAGCCCUGGUGAACGGCGGCCGUAACUAUAACGGUCCUAAGGUAGCGAAAUUCCUUGUCGGGUAAGUUCCGACCCGCACGAAAGGCGUAAUGAUUUGGAUACUGUCUCGGAGAGGGGCUCGGUGAAAUAGACUUGUCUGUGAAGAUGCGGACUACCUGCACCUGGACAGAAAGACCCUAUGAAGCUUUACUGUAACUUGAAAUUGAAAUUGGACUUUAUUUGCGCAGUAUAGGUGGGAGGCGUUGAAAAUAUUCUUGCGGGGAUAUUGGAGCCAUCAGUGAGAUACCACUCUUGUAAUGUUAGAUUUCUAACUUUAUAUCAUUAUCUGGUUAAAGAACAGUUUCAGGCGGGCAGUUUGACUGGGGCGGUCGCCUCCCAAAUGGUAACGGAGGCGCACAAAGGUUUCCUCUGAACGGGUAGAAAUCGUAUCUAGAGUGUAAAGGCAUAAGGAAGCUUGACUGUGAGACCUACAAGUCGAGCAGGGACGAAAGUCGGUCUUAGUGAUCUGACGGUGCUGAGUGGAAAGGCCGUCACUCAACGGAUAAAAGUUACUCUAGGAUAACAGGCUGAUCUCCCCCAAGGGUUCACAUCGACGGGGAGGUUUGGCACCUCGAUGUCGGCUCAUCGCAUCCUGGGGCGGUAGUACGUCCCAAGGGUUGGGCUGUUCGCCCAUGAAAGCGGUACGCGAGCUGGGUUCAGAACGUCGUGAGACAGUUCGGUCCAUAUCCGGUGUAGGCGUUAGAAUAUUGAGAGGAGCCUUCUUUAGUACGAGAGGACCGAGAAGGACAUACCUCUGGUGUACCAGUUAUCGUGCCAACGGUAAACGCUGGGUAGCUAUGUAUGGAGUGGAUAACCGCUGAAAGCAUCUAAGUGGGAAGCCCACCUCAAGAUAAG
rnacentral:rRNA from 1 species